rnacentral:rRNA from 1 species
GCCGGGCAAGACCGGUGCCAGCCGCCGCGGUAACACCGGCGGCUCGAGUGGUAACCGUUAUUAUUGGGUCUAAAGGGUCUGUAGCCGGCCGGAUAAGUCUCUUGAGAAAUCUGGCAGCUUAACUGUCAGGCUUUCAGGAGAUACUGUCUGGCUCGAGGCCGGGAGAGGUGAGAGGUACUUCAGGGGUAGGGGUGAAAUCUUGUAAUCCUUGAAGGACCACCAGUGGCGAAGGCGUCUCACCAGAACGGACCUGACGGCAAGGGACGAAAGCUAGGGGCACGAACCGGAUUAGAUACCCGGGUAGUCCUAGCCGUAAACGAUACUCGCUAGGUGUCGGCCACGGUGCGACCGUUGUCGGUGCCGUAGGGAAGCCGUGAAGCGAG